rnacentral:rRNA from 1 species
GAUGAACGCUGGCGGCGUGCCUAAUACAUGCAAGUCGAGCGAACAGACGAGGAUCUUGCUCCUCUGACGUUAGCGGCGGACGGGUGAGUAACACGUGGAUAACCUACCUAUAAGACUGGGAUAACUUCGGGAAACCGGAGCUAAUACCGGAUAAUAUAUUGAACCGCAUGGUUCAAUAGUGAAAGACGGUUUUGCUGUCACUUAUAGAUGGAUCCGCGCCGCAUUAGCUAGUUGGUAAGGUAACGGCUUACCAAGGCAACGAUGCGUAGCCGACCUGAGAGGGUGAUCAGCCACACUGGAACUGAGACACGGUCCAGACUCCUACGGGAGGCAGCAGUAGGGAAUCUUCCGCAAUGGGCGAAAGCUUGACGGAGCCACGCCGCGUGAGUGAUGAAGGUCUUCGGAUCGUAAAACUCUGUUAUUAGGGAAGAACAAAUGUGUAAGUAAAUAUGCCCGUCUUGACGGUACCUAAUCAGAAAGCCACGGCUAACUACGUG